rnacentral:rRNA from 1 species
GAUGUGGAUCCAUUAGAUACCCUGGUAGUCCAUGCCGUAAACGAUGUCUACUAGCCGUUGGGGCCUUUGAGGCUUUAGUGGCGCAGCUAACGCGAUAAGUAGACCGCCUGGGGAGUACGGUCGCAAGACUAAAACUCAAAUGAAUUGACGGGGGCCCGCACAAGCGGUGGAGCAUGUGGUUUAAUUCGAUGCAACGCGAAGAACCUUACCUGGUCUUGACAUAGUAAGGACUUUCCAGAGAUGGAUUGGUGCCUUCGGGAACUUACAUACAGGUGCUGCAUGGCUGUCGUCAGCUCGUGUCGUGAGAUGUUGGGUUAAGUCCCGCAACGAGCGCAACCCUUUUCCUUAUUUGCCAGCGGGUUAAGCCGGGAACCUUAAGGAUACUGCCAGUGACAAACUGGAGGAAGGCGGGGACGACGUCAAGUCAUCAUGGCCCUUACGACCAGGGCUACACACGUGCUACAAUGGUCGGUACAAAGGGUUGCUACCUAGCGAUAGGAUGCUAAUCUCAAAAAGCCGAUCGUAGUCCGGAUUGGAGUCUGCAACUCGA